rnacentral:rRNA from 1 species
AGAAUCAACGCUGGCGGCGUGCCUCAGACAUGCAAGUCGAACGCGAAAGUCCCCUUCGGGGGACAAGUAGAGUGGCGCACGGGUGAGUAACACGUAGGUAAUCUACCUUUGGAUGGGGAAUAACAACCGGAAACGGUUGCUAAUACCGCAUGAUGCAGCGGCACCUAAUGGUGACAGUUGUUAAAGCGGGGGAUCGAAAGACCUCGCGUCUGAAGAGGAGCCUGCGGCGGAUUAGCUAGUGGUAAGGUAAUGGCUUACCAAGGCUACGAUCC